AGGACGGGCCUCAUUCUUAUCUCCCUCUAUGAAUACAGUUAGAUGCCUUUGAACAUUAUAUCUUCGGAUCCUCUGAUUUUCCUCAACAUCUUUACAGAGUAGGACAUUUGUCACAGAAACAAAAAUGAGCAAACUGGAAGAGGCCAUGGAAAAACUUCUUGAUGUAUUUCAGCAAGGUAACCCAAAAGACAAAAAGAUAAAGAAUGCAGACCUGAAGAGAAUCCUGAAUAAUGAUUUGGAAAAAUGGUCGAAGGACCACCCGCGCAAGAUAAAAAACUUCUUGGAAAGGCUGGACAAAAACCCAGGCAGUAGUUUGGAUUUUGCGCAGUUUGUUCACUAUGUGACUUGGCUGAUGAUAGAUUGUGAUAGCUACUUUAAAAAGUAGACUCCUGCACAUGUAGCUUAAACAUUAGCAUGUUGCUAACACAGAAAGUGGAAAUGGAGAACAUCUUAACUUCACUCUGUUCAAUGAAAAAUACCCCUCCACUCAACCCUUUUUACUGUAUUGUUGUAAUGUAACCAUAAAAGCACAAAAUAUGCGUCUCAUCACAUAAGCCUUUGCCCCCCCAAAAAACCAACCCAAAAACAAAACUAAAUGAUGCUGUAAUUUCUUUGUAUGUCAGACAGCCUAUAAUUUUUUUACUCCGCAAUACAGCAACAACUCUCAACCCAGUUAAUAUCAUUUUUUUGUCAUUAUGAUAUUAACUCUUUCACCUUUGUACUCAUUGAUAAUGUUAAUAUGAAUGUAUUAAGACUCUCAGAGUUUAUAUACAUGUGAAUGUAAAUCUGGUUGUGUGUCUUUUCUAAAACCAUCUUGAUUUAUUGAGUCUCUGAAAUGUUUUCUGUGUGUUUUUGUCAGGGUUCCUGGGUCGCUGACCCAGUGAUUCAGUUCUGUUCAUGUUCAGUUUAGUUUGCCACAUUAAUGUUCUCACUUCCUGUUUUCUCCCAUGUCAGCUUGUGUCAUUAGUCGGAUUAUGUUCAGCCCUGUACUCACCUGUUUCCAAUCAUUGUCAUCAUUCCACCUGUGUAUUUAAGCUCCUCGGUUUCACCAGUUCUUGGUCGUGUCAUUGAUGUUCGUGUGAUGUUGUCCUUUCCGUGUGUUCCCUCAAUUCAGUCAGCCAUUCAGUUAUCCAGCCAGUCAGUGUCAGUUCACCCUCUGUUCAUCCAUUCCUUAUAAUAAACCUUCACCAGUCUUCACCUAC